UUUGUGGUAUUCCCUUUUAUUUCCCAGUGCCCGAAACUGUGUGUAGCCAUUUAGCCGCUCCACGGACAUUUGUUUUGGUUGCUGGGAUGGCUGCUGAGAGAAGAGAGAAUCUGUAGGAGAAAUGGCUGCUUUUCCCCCAGGCCUAUGGUCCCAGUAAGGGCUGGGGAGGGGGGGCUGUCCAGCUCCCUCUACCCCACCUGCCCUGCCGGGGGCACUGGGCCAGGGAGCCACCCCCCCCCUCACAAUACUGGCCCCAUGCGUGCAUGCUGGCACACACCUGUGCACCCGGCAUCUGCAGCCCCACCACCCACCACCCGCUGACGUGGCUGUGGUUUCGAGGCCCCAGAGGUGCAGAUUAGAGACAGAGUGUCCUGUUUUCUGCCGCUGAAGCAGCAGGUGGGGGCGGGGGACAGGCUCGCCUGCAAACAAGCACAUGCAGAGGUCCCUUCUCCUCCCCUUCUUGCACACACAUGCACACACAUGCACACACAUGCACACACACACACACGGACAGCCAGGUGGCCCAGACUGGCUGCUGUUCGGUGUCAGUACGGGAGCCAUGCCUCUGUCUGUACCGGGCCCUGCUGCAGGUGGGGAGAGGGGACAGAGGAAGAGGCUACAAGUUCCCUUCCCAGCGCCUGAGCUGCCGCCUCAGGGCUUCAUGCCCACCCAGCAUGGCCACCUAGCCUCACGUGUCAAGUCUUUCCUUUGGGGGAAGCAUUGUCCUCUUUUACCUUCUGUCAAAACCACAUCCCCAUAGGAGGGGGCUCGCAUUCAGCCCUCGGUGGGGAGGAGCAGGUCUGCCUCUGUCACUCCUGUGCUCCAUGGUGCACUCAGCAGCUGGCCGGACCGCCACGGCUCCCCCCUGGGCCUGUGGGGUCCAGCCCAACCCCCUGGGCCAGUGCCUUCCCUGCUCCAGAAGUCCCCGAUUUGAGGGGAGAUGAGUGUGGCCUCUGGAAGCAGGCCUCCUCUGAGAAUGUCAGCUCUGCAUGACCUUAGGCGAGUCACUUCACCUCUCUGUGCCCCAGUUUCUCCCCUGGUAGAGCUGUUGUAAAGACGAAAUUGGUUCAUGUAUGCAAAGUGCUUAGCCCAGCACCUGCUGUGGAAGUUGUCAGUGAAUGUUAGCAGUCACUAUGAUGGUUUCCUGCCUCAGAGCCACGAGGGGCUGAGGAGUGGCUUGGGUCAGGGCUCGCGGCCCAGCUCUGGCCUCCCAGACUGAGCCAGCAGCUUCCAGGCCCAGCAGCAGCUCAUUGGAGACUCAGAGUGCCAGGCCAUACUGGGGAAUCCUAAUGUAGAAGGUGGGCCAAGGGAGGGGGCUCACACCUCAGCCUGCAGCCAUCUGUGGCACAGGAGUCCCCCAGUCUCCCAGCCACGGGUUGGUCCCCCUGCAGCCUUCUGGUUCUCCAAGCCCCCUUGCCUCACAAGGCGCCCCUCAGGCCAUCUCCUGCAGUAAGAAUGCCCGUCAAUCUUGCUGCCAGAGCACCCACAGUUCCUACUCCUCAGGGCCUCAGGCUCCUCAAGUAUGAGAGGGCAUAAAAACUCCCACACCACGGGAUUAACGUCAGGGGAGGUCAUGGAUGGAGACUGCGUGGCCUUGGCAGCCAGUCAGGGCCAACUCUUGUUACUGCCUGCACCCCAAGGCUGGCGGGUCCUGCUUGCCGCGCCCGGGCUCCCCGCAGUGUUCAGGAGCCCAGGCUCACGGCAGGCGUCAGGAAGGAGCUGUUGCCUAGGGUGGGCUGGAAUGAACCGGGGAGGCCCGGGAGCUGAGAAGGGGGCGUGAUGACCAAAGCCUCUGGGUGAACAGUGCUCACCCCAAACAGAGCUUGAAUGAAGGAGGAAGGAAGAGAGGACGGGCUGAGCACACCCUGGGCCCCAGAGGAAGUUGAACGCUGGGCCGCGGUGUGACAGUUCAAGGGCCUGUGCACCACAGCUCCUCACCCCACCUCGCCUGCUGACGUCAGCGGGGAGUGCAUGACCCUGCCUGCCUCCUCUCCCAGGCCCCGGAUCUUUGAGGUGGGGGUCCCAGCCUGGGGGCUCCCACAGCUAAACUCUGCACAACCGGGCACCCAGCAGAGCUUUGCGUCUUCAGGUCGACUUUGCCCUGUCCAGGCUCCUUUAGUAAAAGACAACCAGUUAACAGCACCUCUUCACUCACCCGCACCACCUCACAUCCCCCAGGUGUGCCCUAGAAGAUAUCUAUUAAGCAUCUACUGUAUACAAGGUGGUUUCACCUCCAUGAGUUCAUUUAAUCCUUCACAAUACCCUGAGGUGAAUAUUCUAUGGGUAAGGAAAAUAGCUCAGAGAGGCUAAGUAACCUGCCUGAGGUCACACAGCUUGUAGGUGACAGAGCUGGCCUCCCAACUCAGGCUCCUAUAGGUGAGUGAAUUCGUGCUGGAGGAGCCCUUGGAGAGCCAGUACAACUAGGCCUCUGGUUUGCCAAGGAGGAAAUGGAUACCCAGUGCCGAGAAGCCAGUGUCCUAGGCUGUGCCCCGGGCUCCUGGCAGAACCAGAUAGGAUUAGCAAACUUUCUUUUGGCAUUAGAUGCCUGGCAGGAGGGGCUCUGCCAUGAAGCCUUCUUCCUUCACUGCCUUCAGGUCUCCACUUAGAGGCCACCACCUUAGAGAAAAGUCUGGACAGUCCUAGCUGAAGGAGGGCCCUAUCAUCCUCCACCUCUUAGCCUGGCUUUAUUCUUUGCAGCACCUACAGUCAUCUGCAGUUCUAUGCAUCACAUUAUUUAUUUAUUACCCCCCACCCCACCCCAGUUAGAAUGUGAGCUCCAUGAGCUCAGGGAGCAUCUACCUUGUUUCCUUGGAUAGAACAGUGCCUGGCACAAAUUCAACAUUUUUUGUGUGGAAUGAAUGAAAGAAUGAAUGAAGUCAGAUGAUAAAGGAAGAGUCUUAUGCUUUAUGGGGGAUAGUUUAGUGUAAAGAUGAACUUACUAAGGCCAAACCAAAUAGAUAAUUCUAGGUGGGGGAGGGGAGUGAGAAGUAAUUUAGGAAAGAGAAGGGGCAGGGCCAGCAUGCGCAGACAUGAGGUCUGGCACAUAGACUGUAAAGUAAAUGGUGUCCCCUCCAGUUGUUCAGCUCUCAACUUGGACAAUACAAGGUGACUCUGGGAUGGGAAGAACACAACAGUUUUGGCCCCUUCAGCAGACCGGAGGGGGUGAGGGAGCGAGGAGUCGAGGCUGCUCGACAGGUGCCUGCAGCAGGAGGAACAGGCUGUACCCACCAUGAGGACGCCACGUGGUCGCGGUUAGCAGUUUGCCAUCCGGUGGCAUUGUCUCCACAGACGGUCGUCCAACCAGGGGGAGCAAGCGUUCUGCUGUUAGCAAUCUCUAGUACCUGGAGCACCCCUGUGGGAUGCGGGUGGGGAAAUCACCCAGACAUACCCCACAAACACACACCAAACGCUGUGGACAGAGAUUAUCACCACAGCAGGAGGGAGGGCUGUUUCCUGAGCCGGCAGGGAGCUCUGACGGCGGAGGACACUGUGUUCUGAGACCUCUCCACUGAGCGGAGGACUCGAUGUUGAAGACCUAAUCUGACGUGCGACUCUGUUUGAGAAGGGGACUUUAAGGAGGUUUUGCCUCUCAUCCUACGUGGCAGGGUAUCGCGGUGUAGCGGUUACAAACGUACGAACACUGGAAUAGGACAGAUGUGAGGGGGCGUCACAGCUUCUGCUCUCACCAGACCUCUGAGCCUCAGUUUAUUCGUCUGUAAAAUGAGCACAGAGUAUCCACCCUGGGGCUUGGUUGUGAAGAUUAGUUGAGGUCGUGACAUAAUGCCUAGGCCCACAAUAAAUGCUAAAUGCGA